GACAGAGGAGGCUAGCGUUAUCCGGAUUCAUUGGGCGUAAAGGGUACGUAGGCGGCUAGUCAAGUCUGAGGUUAAAGCCCACAGCUCAACUGUGGGAAGGCCUUGGAAACUGACUGGCUAGAGUGGGGCAGGGGUUGCGGGAAUUCCCGGUGUAGCGGUGAAAUGCGUAGAUAUCGGGAAGAACACCUGAGGCGAAAGCGCGCAACUGGGCCCUCACUGACGCUGAGGUACGGAAGCUAGGGGAGCGAAUGGG
rnacentral:rRNA from 1 species